AAAGCAAUGAAAGAUUGCUAUUUUUACUAUAAGAUAAAGAGUAUUAAAAUGCUGAAAUCACAAGAUUUGCAAAUUCCAACAGUAACAAUAUCUACACAUGGACUAAUCAAGAAUCAGUCUCAUUGUGCUUUCUUUGUUAUAAUAAUAGUGGAAUCUAGGCCCAGCUUGUGCAAACAACGAUAGAUCGAUCGGUACCUACUACCUCCCACUAGCACAAUCUCGAUGCGCACUUGAACCAAUGACUAUACUACUGUUUUACAUUUGCAAACCAAUACCAACUUGACAGUAACCAACAUAUAUGUACAGAAUCUUGGGCCAUUGCAAUUCAUAUGUGCCUCAAAUGGAAAGGUGUGUUGCAUAUCUGUACAACUUCACCUCCAUCAAAGCCAACUUUUUGAUAUGUUCAGACAACUAACUGAAACCACUUUUAUUUGUUUCUCCUCAGUGUCAUCAACUGCAAAUAACCUCAACUGAGAGUUUCUUCAUAACAUGUGGACAUGGAUCACCUCCAAAGAUCUCUGGUGUUACAGGUACUGAGCACGAGUUUUGCCCGAUGCAAUACCUUUCAAAAGCAUCAUAUGAGUGGAAGGCGUGGCAGCUUCCUUCACGGAAGCUUCCGCAGACCCCUUGUGGUGUUCCAAAGCUUGCAAAUUUGAUUGAAGUAAUCUUCUGACCAGAAGCACACGAGAGGUGAGCUUUAGGUCUCAGUGGUUUGUCAACUUUACCAGAUGCUUGCAUUUGCCAAUUCACCAACUGUGGUUGCCAUUCGUUUAUAUCUGCACAAACACUUGCAACUUCUCUUUUUACCAAAGAGAUUCCAUGAGGCUCUCCUCCCCAUUCCUCAAAUAGAACUAACAAAUUUCCAGUAGGAUACAGCCAAGAACGGGGAACAUGAUACCAUCGUUGUGAAGCCUCUCCACAGUUACUUAGGCAUUUUUUCUCAUUAAACCAGCCUGCAUAGUUACAGGCACCGCAGUUACCAGAUGCUUUAUAUCCAGGCCAAUAGCGUCCGAGGCUUUGACCAUUUAUCCACACUUGUCCUUUGCCCAUGGUAUUCAAGUCUAAAGCCAAAGGAUCAUUUCCAGCUGGAGCAUUAAAAGUGCUCUUGUACCAUGUGAGUGGCUGUCUCUGAGCCACUAAAGAACCCUCGACCCACUCAACUGACGAGCUACCACUGAGUGAAUGGAGGCUCAAGGCUUCUCCUUUUAGACCAACCUUGUAAGACCAUUUCUGCCAUGUUAAAUCUCUUUUCCCCUCGUCAAGACCAGUUAGUGAGACUGGCCCAAGAACACCAGCAUUCCAUGUCUCAAAAUGUGGGCCGAUAUUCGGAAGGCCAACAGCAAUGCUCAGUAGAGAAAUCUUGUUAACACCUGCUCUCAGAUUUACGGCUUUACUGAAAGUUAGUUUCGGUUU
rnacentral:misc_RNA from 1 species